rnacentral:rRNA from 1 species
UACGAAGGGGGGCUAGCGUUGCUCGGAAUCACUGGGCGUAAAGCGCACGUAGGCGGACUCUUAAGUCGGGGGUGAAAUCCUGGAGCUCAACUCCAGAACUGCCUUCGAUACUGGCGAUCUUGAGUCCGGAAGAGGUGAGUGGAACUCCUAGUGUAGAGGUGGAAUUCGUAGAUAUUAGGAAGAACACCAGUGGCGAAGGCGGCUGCCUGGGCCUGGCCUGACGCUGAGGCGCGAAAGCGUGGGGAGCAAUCCGG